GAUGAACGCUAGCUACAGGCUUAACACAUGCAAGUCGAGGGGAAACGGCAUCGAAAGCUUGCUUUUGAUGGGCGUCGACCGGCGCACGGGUGAGUAACGCGUAUCCAACCUGCCCAUCACUUGGGAAUAACCUUGCGAAAGUAAGACUAAUGCCCAAUGACAUCCCACGAAGGCAUCCGAAUGGGAUUAAAGAUUUAUCGGUGAUGGAUGGGGAUGCGUCUGAUUAGCUUGUUGGCGGGGUGACGGCCCACCAAGGCAACGAUCAGUAGGGGUUCUGAGAGGAAGGUCCCCCACAUUGGAACUGAGACACGGUCCAAACUCCUACGGGAGGCAGCAGUGAGGAAUAUUGGUCAAUGGGAGAGAGCCUGAACCAGCCAAGUAGCGUGCAGGAUGACGGCCCUAUGGGUUGUAAACUGCUUUUAUAAGGGAAUAAAGUGGGUCACGUGUGACUUUUUGCAUGUACCUUAUGAAUAAGGACCGGCUAAUUCCGUG
rnacentral:rRNA from 1 species